UCUCAAUUUCUGGUUUUUGAAGGUCUUGACCGAUUUGGAAAGAGUUGCAGUUUAAGAUGGAUGAACUAUCUUAGACCCAAUAUUAAGAGAUAUCAGAGCAAGAAGAAGACUUGAUACUUAGGCUUCAAAGGCUCCUUGGAAACAUCUAUUGAAUUAAGGUGGUCAUUGAUGUUGGAAGGCUACCAGGUAGAACCUACAAUGAGAUUAAGAAUGACUGGAACUCCCAUUUGAGCAAAAAGAUGAAGCAGAGAGAAAGACAAAACAGAGCAGUCUCAAAAGCAGAACAAGAGUCCUCUGACACAAAGAAUAUUAAGGUAAUGGAGGUGAAUGCUCUGACAAUUGGAAGAGAAGAUGUCUCCAAAUGCAAGGAUAGCUUCAAGUCUGGCUUUAAUGAGAUGAGUUUUUUGACUGCUCAAGUGAUGAAGCGCCUUUGAACUUGGAGUGGACUGUGGAUGAAUCAAUUCCUUGAAAUGGAUGAGAGUUGGUUUACCUUGUUCCUUUCUUUUUUCCCCUUCUCUUUUUCUGGUUUCAUGAUACUUCUUAUUAUUGCGUUUGAGGCCUUUUGCUCAUUCUAGGAAAUUCCCACUUCGUGUUUGUUCCUUCUGUUUUUAUUUUCCACUCCGUGAGGUUUUUUUUCCUUGAAUUAACAAAUCAUAUGUUGGUGUGUCAA